rnacentral:rRNA from 1 species
AGAAUCAACGCUGGCGGCGUGCCUAACACAUGCAAGUCGAACGAGAAAGUGGAGCAAUCCAUGAGUAAAGUGGCGCACGGGUGAGUAACACGUGACUAACCUACCCUUGAGUGGGGGAUAAACUGAGGGAAACCUUAGCUAAUACCGCAUAAUACCCACGGGUCAAAAGGAGCAAUUCGCUCGAGGAGGGGGUCGCGGCCGAUUAGUUAGUUGGCGGGGUAAUGGCCCACCAAGACGAUGAUCGGUA